GAUGAACGCUGGCGGCGUGCCUAAUACAUGCAAGUCGAGCGAACAGACGAGGAGCUUGCUCCUCUGACGUUAGCGGCGGACGGGUGAGUAACACGUGGAUAACCUACCUAUAAGACUGGGAUAACUUCGGGAAACCGGAGCUAAUACCGGAUAAUAUAUUGAACCGCAUGGUUCAAUAGUGAAAGACGGUUUUGCUGUCACUUAUAGAUGGAUCCGCGCCGCAUUAGCUAGUUGGUAGGGUAACGGCUUACCAAGGCAACGAUGCGUAGCCGACCUGAGAGGGUGAUCGGCCACACUGGAACUGAGACACGGUCCAGACGCCUACGGGAGGCAGCAGUAGGGAAUCUUCCGCAAUGGGCGAAAGCCUGACGGAGCAACGCCGCGUGAGUUAUGAAGGUCUUCGGAUCGUAAAACUCUGUUAUUAGGGAAGAACAAAUGUGUAAGUAACUAUGCACGUCUUGACGGUACCUAAUCAGAAAGCCACGGCUAACUACGUG
rnacentral:rRNA from 1 species